rnacentral:rRNA from 1 species
UACGUAGGGUGCGAGCCGUUAAUCGGAAUUACUGGGCGUAAAGCGUGCGCAGGCGGUUCGUUAAGUUCGUUGUGAAGCCCCGGGCUCAACCUGGGAACUGCAAUGGAAACUGGCGGGCUUGAAGUGCGGCAGAGGGGGGUGGGAAUUCCGGCGUGUAGCAGUGAAAUGCGUAGAGAUGCGGAGGAACACCGAUGGCGAAGGCAGCCCCCUGGGCCGACAUUGACGCUCAGGCACGAAAGCGUGGGGAGCAAACAGG